rnacentral:lncRNA from 10 species
GAUGUUCCCGCUGCCUAAAGAAUGAUUGACUGUAAGAUUGAUUUGCCAACAGUGGGGUGCUUUUCUCUCGAUACACACAGCAAUAGACAGAACGGAAAUUCUGGGAUCCUAAUCUAGCAUGGAAGAGAAAGGCCGGGAGCACGAAGGCAGCAGGACCUCUUCCUUCUCUUUUUUCUUUUUCUAUACUUCUUUUCUCCCCUCUACUUAUUUAUCUCUUUCAAGAAAUGAGACUGGGCACAGUGGCUCACGCCUGUAAACCCAGCUCUUUGGGAAGCCGAGGCGGGAGGAUCGCUUGAGGCCAGGAGUUCGAGACCAGCCUGGGCAACAUAGUAACUGCACUUUUGUGAGAUUAUAAAUAUACCACGGAGGGUAACGAAGCUACAGAAGAAUGGAAGAAGACAGCCUGGAAGACUCAAACCUUCCUCCAAAAGUUUGGCAUUCUGAGAUGACGGUGUCAGUGACAGGCGAACCACCUAGUACCGUAGAAGAAGAAGGAAUACCUAAAGAAACAGACAUAGAAAUCAUCCCAGAAAUCCCGGAAACUCUAGAG